rnacentral:rRNA from 1 species
UACCAGACUCCUACGGGAGGCAGCAGUGGGGGAUAUUGCACAAUGGGGGGAACCCUGAUGCAGCGACGCCGCGUGGGUGAAGGAGUGCUUUGGCAUGUAAAGCCCUAUCGGCAGGGAAGAAGCAAGACGGUACCUGACUAAGAAGCCCCGGCUAACUACGUGCCAGCAGCCGCGGUAAUACGUAGGGGGCGAGCGUUAUCCGGAUUCACUGGGUGUAAAGGGAGCGUAGACGGCCAUGCAAGCCAGGGGUGAAAGCCCGGGGCCCAACCCCGGGACUGCCCUUGGAACUGCAUGGCUGGAGUGCGGGAGGGGCAGGCGGAAUUCCUGGUGUAGCGGUGAAAUGCGUAGAUAUCAGGAGGAACACCGGCGGCGAAGGCGGCCUGCUGGACCGCGACUGACGUUGAGGCUCGAAAGCGUGGGGAGCAAACAGGAUUAGAUACCCUGGUAA